GCCUUUUCAAAGUUUAAUUUUUAUGAAAACUUUCAGAUCAUAAUUGAACAUUGUUUUAUGAUUUUUGAUGCAUUAAAAACCCCGAUCACAACCUGGAAUAUGUGAAAUCACAAAAAUACCCUUUAGGGGUAUUUUCAUAAAUUUACCUUCACCAGGUCAAAAUUUCACAAAAAUCUUUAAAUCACGAUUUUAUAUUAUUUAAUGGUUUUUAGAAUAUAGAAAACCUUGAUCGUAGCUUAAAAUGUG
rnacentral:lncRNA from 1 species